rnacentral:lncRNA from 1 species
UCCCCUUUUGUUGAUGUUCUUGGCUUCCAGAAUCUCAAAAGACAGACCUCCGCCGCGUUGGAGCAUCUCCCGGCUCUCAAGUCAGCAAGAACGGUUUAUGAAUUACCCAUCGAAAUCGUUUGCUUGCAAAUUAAAAGUUUUCGGAUUUGGUUUGAGUUGGAGUUUGCAUGGUAUGGAGGUGAGAUAUAUAUAGCUGGAGAUAUAGGCGGUUUCAAGGGAAACGUACAGGUGCACCGAAAUCUUAAUGAAUGAGAAGUGGAUUACUCAAGGGAAAACUCAAAAUAAAUGACGGCUUUGAGGAAUUGGAACUUGGAAGUCGUUACGGGUAGCGAAGGGAGUGCUUAGUUUCUCUGGAAAUUAGACGCUCAAGCAUCCACCGCAAAAAAAAAGAAUGAAGAAGAACC